rnacentral:lncRNA from 1 species
GAUAGCUGUCUUCAGACACAUCAGAUGAGGGCAUUAGAUCCCAUUAGAAAUGGUUGUGAGCCACCAUGUGCUUGCUAGGAAAUGACCUGAAGACCUCUGGAAGAACAGUUCAGUGCUUUUAACCUCUGAGCCAUCUCUCCAGCCCCACAUAGUGAGUUUCAAUCCAGCCAUGGCUAUACAGUACGGCCCUGUCUCAAAAAAUAAAAAGGAAAGAAAAGAAAGAUGAAAUAGUGGUAGACACUCAGUAUCCAGACUAGAUGCAUAAAAUGAACUUGUACACAUGAAUCUCACAUCACACAUGAAUAGUAUUUGGCCAUAUGUGCCAUAUGUGAUGUGCCUUAAUGAUACUUGGGUUUGUAGAUGACUAUAACAGAGGAGUCAGGAAAAUAUAAGGUGCUUUGCUCUGUUCCCAUUCUCAUAUUCCUGUCUUGUAUGCUUACUUAGGGAUUCCAAAUGAAAAAAUACCCAGGUUAUGAAAACCAGUGCUUUGUGUUUUUUUAAUGCCUCCCAAGUGCUGUGAGUCAUGUGCCAGCCACCACUCCUUGCAGUGAACAUUUGCAAAGCAGAUUUUAUACUUGGUUUGGGAAAUGAAAAGUCAAGAAAGGUUCUUAACAUAGGCAGUGUUAGGCUAUGCAGCCAGGAGUAUAAGCAUGAAAACUUUCCGUAAGAGGAAGACACAGGGCUGGGAUGAGCAGUGAUGGAUAGUGUUCAUCGUCUUUGUUCCAUCAUGAGAGUGUGAAGAGCUAUUGGUUGAUUCUCCUUUUGGGGAUUACAUUACACAAUUUAUGUAGAUGUUGUGAUAACACCUUGAAAAUCAUGUCAUAUCUACAGUUAGAACUUCCUGUGACAAGUCUCAGUCAUGUAUUAGCACCUAGCUUCAACCUUGACGACCUUUUGUGAAGGAUUGGUUACUUUAUAUGCAUGAUUUGGCCCUUCACAUUCAAAAUGCAAUUGUUUGUUAAAAGUAAUUAGCUUUGUAGGCUUUUUGUGCCCAUUCAUCCAUCCAUCCAUCCAUCCAUCCAUCCAUCCAUCCAUCCAUCUAUCCAUCUAUCUAUCUAUCUUGAAACACGAUUUCUCUAGUAGUCCAAACAUUCCUGGAAUGCUGCCUUCUUAGUGCUAGGAUUAAAGGCAUGCUCCAACAUGCUUGGCUGGGUUUAUAGGGUUUUAUGGUUUUUUAGAUCUGAAAAGAUGAAGGAGGCGAAGUGUAGAGGGAGAUCAUGUUCGAAAUACGUGGAACAAACCACGCAUGGGGAAAACAGAAGCCCUUGAAAUAAAGGACAGAAAAUAUGCCAUUAUUGUUAGUUCUUCUUGGGCACUGAAGCAGUUUGGGUAUUACUGUGGGGCUCUGCUCUCCUAGAGCUUACUGGGUAGAGCUGGCUGAUCUUGAACUUCAGUUGCCUUCUGUGAUGAUUCUUUUUUUUUUUUUAAGAUUUAUUAUUAUACAUAAGUACACUGUAUCUGUCUUCAGAUGCACCAGAAGAGGGAAUCAGCUCUCAUUACUAUGGGUGGUUGUGAGCCACCAUGUGGUUGCUGGGAUUUGAACUCAGGACCUUUGGUAGAACAGUGUUCCUACCCACUGAGCCAUCUCACCAGCCCCUGUGAUGAUUCUUUUUGUUUUGUUUUGUUUUUGUUCCCUGGCUGUCCUGGAACUCACUCUGAAGACUAGGCUGGCCUUGAACACAGAAAUCUGCCUGCCUCUGCCUCCCAAGUGCUGGGAUUAAAGGCUGUGUCACCACCGCCCGGCCCCUGUGAUGAUUCUUAACAAAGUACAUUUUAUUGAUGGUGAAAUAGGCAUGCCCUGAAGUUCCUCUCCUUGACCCAAGCUCUAGAAAUGUCAGGAAAGUUGUUUUCAGUGUUUUAAGUUUUCUUAAAAACAAACAAAACAAGAACAUGAGACAAAACAGAAGUAAUUAAUCUCUGGAAAUUGUAAUAGAGAUCUGAUGUAAAUAUCAGCUGAGGUUAGCUGGUCAGUAGUUGCACACACAUUUAAUCCCAACACUCAGGAGCCACAGGGAGGCAGUUGGAUCUCUGUGAGUUUGAGGCUAGCCUGGUCUAUAGAGAAAUCUUGUCUCGAUAACAACAAAAACAAUAACAAAUCAGCUGUGGUAGUAUUGGAGAGGCAGUCUGAUGUACACAUGGGAAUCCAUUGUAUACUCUGCCUUCAGGAAUAUGAGCUCUCUCUCUCCAAAUCCCAGGUGACCGAAGCUUUGUAAGAUACAAAGAUCUUACAAAGAUCUAAAGAUGGAACCAAUUUAAGCAAAUAUUUUCCCACUCAUUCAUGUAUUUGUGGCUACUUCCUCUAUGAAGGUACAGUGCCUCAGAGGUUAGGCCUUGUCCUUUACUGGCUUGCUAUUUCAGAGGAAAGAAGGGCACAGAAUCCUGGGACACUCACUGCAGAGGCGUUGUUCAUUGCUCCACUCCCAGUAUCACUGGCAACAAAUGGAGCAUAUAAGCCAAUUAACUACCCAAGUCCGGGAACUUUCAAUCUAAUAUGAAUCUCAGUGUGGAAAAUUGGAUGUGGAUAAGACUCUAUAGUUAUUUGAGAAUCUUCUGAAGGAUUAAAAGAAGAAUGGGCAUUGUACUGCACACUUGUCAUCCCUGUCCUCGGAAGAUGGAGGCAGUAGGAUCAGGAGGUCAAAGAUAGGCUGAGGGGUUGGAAAGAUGGCUCAGAGGUUAAAAGCACAGACUGCUCUUCCAGGGGUCCUGAGUUCAAUUCCCAACAACCACAUGGUGCCUCACAACCAUCUGUAAUGGGAUCUGAUGUCCUCUUCUGGUGUGUCUGAUGACCGCAGUAGUAGUACUCACAGGUAAAUAUAAGAUAAAGUCUUUUAAAAAACAAAACAAAACAAAACAAAAAAAAGAUAGGCUGUGAAUUACCACUUGGUUACUUUAUUUGAAAACAGUGAAUAGAAUUAGGAUAAUCCUCUAGAAUAUCCAUAGUUAACAUUGUUCAAGUAUUGUUCAAGAGACAUGGAAUGUUGUACACACAAAGCCAGAAGAGGCAUGAAAAGGAACCAAGAUAAUAGAAACUGGGGUAGCCACUAUAAAAAUUAGUAUGAAAGUGUAACAAAAAAAAAACAAACAAAUGACAAAAACAAUAAAAAUAGUGUAUUCUAUGAUCUAGCAUAUAGCAAAAGUAAGUGAAGUCAUCAUAGAGGAGAUAUACUUGAGGCUGGGAUGUGGCUCAAUUGGUAGAAUUCUUAAUAUUAUAUCUAAGAUUUUGUUUUGAUCCCCAGCAUGUUAACUUGUGAGGUUUUUUAAAAAUUAUAUUUAUAUGUGUGGGUGUUUUGCCUGCAAUUAUGUCUGUGAACCAUGUUUGUACAUGUGUCCUCAGAAGGACAGUGUCAGAUUCUCUGGAACUGGAGUUACAGAUGGUUAUGAGGUGCCAUAUAGGUCCUAGGAAUUGAAUUUGGAUCCUUUUGAACAGUUAAUGCUCAUAAACACCUUUCCACCCCAUAACCUGUGCUGCUUAUCCCAGCAGUAGUGAGGUAGGAGCCAGAAUUAGGCAAAUUUCUGAAAACUUGUUGGCCAGUUCCUGGAGAAGUUCCAGGUCAAUGAGAGAACCUGUUUCAAAAAGUGGACAGUGGCAAGACAUUUGUGGGUAUCUUCUGACCACUACACACACAUACACACACAUACACACACACACACACACACACACACACACACACACACACACAGUCCUACAUGCACAUGUGUAUCCAUAUACAUGCACACAACCACACAUUCACAAAAGCUCAGCAAGGCCAUCCGUGGCUAUAUAUGUGAUACAAAGCCAACCUGAGGUAGGUAUGUCACGAGACCAGGUAAUCCUGCCUUAAAACAAUGAACAAGCAACAAAACCACAACUUGAAAGAAGGACUAAGGACUAUUAGGGAAGAGAACAAGGGGCAUAGAUAGGGUAAGAAAAAGGUGAGAACAGGGAAGUGUAUAGGCAUAAUCAAUGCAUGAUGUAUACUUAUAUUGAAAUAAAGCAGUUGAUUCUGUUUGUACAAUG